UGUGAACGUUACCAAACUGUUGCCUCGGCGGGAUCUCUGCCCCGGGUGCGUCGCAGCCCCGGACCAAGGCGCCCGCCGGAGGACCAACCAAAACUCUUAUUGUAUACCCCCUCGCGGGUUUUUUUAUAAUCUGAGCCUUCUCGGCGCCUCUCGUAGGCGUUUCGAAAAUGAAUCAAAACUUUCAACAACGGAUCUCUUGGUUCUGGCAUCGAUGAAGAACGCAGCGAAAUGCGAUAAGUAAUGAGAGUGAAUUGCAAAAUUCAUUGAAUCAUCGAAUCUUUGAACGCACAUUGCGCCCGCCAGUAUUCUGGCGGGCAUGCCUGUCCGAGCGUCAUUUCAACCCUCGAACCCCUCCGGGGGGUCGGCGUUGGGGAUCGGCCCUGCCUUGGCGGUGGCCGUCUCCGAAAUACAGUGGCGGUCUCGCCGCAGCCUCUCCUGCGCAGUAGUUUGCACACUCGCAUCGGGAGCGCGGCGCGUCCACAGCCGUUAAACACCCAACUUCUGAAAUGUUGACCUCGGAUCAGGUAGGAAUACCCGCUGAACUUAAGCAUAUCAUAGG
rnacentral:rRNA from 1 species